CAGGAGGGACCACCCUCCAAGGCUAAAUACUACCUAGUGACCGAUAGCGUAUAGUACCGUGAGGGAAAGGUGAAAAGAACCCCGGGAGGGGAGUGAAAUAGAACCUGAAACCCUGCACUUACAAGCUGUGGAAGCACAUUUCUUGUGUGACCGCGUACUUUUUGUAGAACGGGCCAACGAGUUACGUUAAGUAGCAAGGUUAAGCACUUAAGGUGCGGAGCCGUAGCGAAAGCGAGUUUUAACUGAGCGUUCAGUUACUUGACGUAGACCCGAAACCGGGCGACCUACCCAUGAGCAGGAUGAAGCGAAAGUAAAAUUUCGUGGAGGUCCGAACCCACGAGCGUUGAAAAGCUCGGGGAUGACUUGUGGGUAGCGGUGAAAUUCCAAUCGAGCCCGGAGAUAGCUGGUUCUCCCCGAAAUAGCUUUAGGGCUAGCCUCAAGGUGAGAGAUACGGAGGUAGAGCACUGAAUGUCCUAGGGGGUAUUGCACCUACCGAAGACUAUCAAACUCCGAAUGCCGUCAUCUUAUACUUGGGAGUCAGACUGUGGGUGAUAAGAUUCAUAGUCGAAAGGGCAACAGCCCAGAUCGUCAGCUAAGGUCCCUAAAUGUAAGUUAAGUGGUAAAGGAUGUGGGAUUGCACAGACAACCAGGAUGUUGGCUUAGAAGCAGCCACUCAUUCAAAGAGUGCGUAAUAGCUCACUGGUCGAGUGAUCCUGCGCCGAAGAUUUCCGGGGCUAAAACUUACUACCGAAGCUACGGCAUCAGUAAUGAUGGGUAGGGGAGCUUCCCAUACGGGUUGAAGCAUGACCGUAAGGACAUGUGGACAGUAUGGGAGUGAGAAUGUUGGCAUGAGUAGCGAGAUGUGGGUGAGAAUCCCACAGGCCGUAAACCCAAGGUUUCCAGGGGAAGGUUCGUCCGCCCUGGGUUAGUCGGGACCUAAGCUGAGGCCGAAAGGCGUAGGUGAUGGACAACAGGUUGAUAUUCCUGUACUACCGAUAACCGUUUGAGAGAAGGGAUGACACAGUAGGAUAAGCUAAGCACACUGUUGGUUAUGUGUGCCCAAGCAUUGAGGCAGUCAAAGUAGGCAAAUCCGCUUUGAUAAUGCUGGGAUGUGAUGGGGAGCGAAAUUUAGUAGCGAAGUAGCUGAUUUCACACUGUCAAGAAAAGUCUCUAUCGAGGUUAAAGGUACCCGUACCGCAAACCGACACAGGUGGGUGAGGAGAGUAUCCUAAGGCCAGCGAGAGAACUGUUGUUAAGGAACUCGGCAAAAUGACCCCGUAACUUAGGGAUAAGGGGUGCCACCAUCAGGUGGCCGCAGAGAAUAGGCCCAAGCGACUGUUUACCAAAAACAUAGGUUUCUGCUAAGUCGCAAGACGAUGUAUAGGAGCUGACGCCUGCCCGGUGCUGGAAGGUUAAGGGGAUCUGUUAGAGCAAUCGAAGCAGUGAACUUAAGCCCCAGUAAACGGCGGCCGUAACUAUAACGGUCCUAAGGUAGCGAAAUUCCUUGUCGGGUAAGUUCCGACCCGCACGAAAGGCGUAACGAUUUGGGCACUGUCUCAACAACAGACUCGGUGAAAUUGUAAUUCCGGUGAAGAUGCCGGAUACCUGCGACAGGACGGAAAGACCCCAUGGAGCUUUACUGUAGCUUGACAUUGGGUCUUGGUACUACAUGUACAGGAUAGGUGGGAGGCUUUGAAACCAGGACGCCAGUUUUGGCGGAGCCAUCCUUGGGAUACCACCCUUGUAGUACUGGGACUCUAACCAUAGGCCAUGAAUCUGGUCUUGGGACACUGUCAGGUGGGCAGUUUGACUGGGGCGGUCGCCUCCCAAAAGGUAACGGAGGCGCUCAAAGGUUCUCUCAGUACGGUCGGAAAUCGUACGUAGAGUGUAAAGGCAAAAGAGAGCUUGAUUGCAAGACAUACAGGUCGAGCAAGGAUGAA
rnacentral:rRNA from 1 species